rnacentral:rRNA from 1 species
UACUGCGACCCCAGGUC